rnacentral:lncRNA from 1 species
GUAAAUUAUCACAUGUGCACAUUUGUAGUUACAGUAACAAUAAAUAAACUCCAAUUAGUAACACAGCAUUUAUAAUAAAAUUAAUAUAUUAAAUUGACAAAAAAAAAUAGAGAGGCCUUAUAAAAAGAUGUAAACUAGAGACUCUAAAGAGCCUGUGUCGCUCACCUGUAUUUACUUAUGCUUUCGAAAUCAUGUAAAAUAAGGUUACAAUUAUAAUGUAUACUAUAAGAUAUCAUUAGAUACUAUAAUAAU